ACGAACGCUGGCGGCGUGCCUAAUACAUGCAAGUCGAACGAACUCUGGUAUUGAUUGGUGCUUGCAUCAUGAUUUACAUUUGAGUGAGUGGCGAACUGGUGAGUAACACGUGGGAAACCUGCCCAGAAGCGGGGGAUAACACCUGGAAACAGAUGCUAAUACCGCAUAACAACUUGGACCGCAUGGUCCGAGCUUGAAAGAUGGCUUCGGCUAUCACUUUUGGAUGGUCCCGCGGCGUAUUAGCUAGAUGGUGGGGUAACGGCUCACCAUGGCAAUGAUACGUAGCCGACCUGAGAGGGUAAUCGGCCACAUUGGGACUGAGACACGGCCCAAACUCCUACGGGAGGCAGCAGUAGGGAAUCUUCCACAAUGGACGAAAGUCUGAUGGAGCAACGCCGCGUGAGUGAAGAAGGGUUUCGGCUCGUAAAACUCUGUUGUUAAAGAAGAACAUAUCUGAGAGUAACUGUUCAGGUAUUGACGGUAUUUAACCAGAAAGCCACGGCUAACUACGUGCCAGCAGCCGCGGUAAUACGUAGGUGGCAAGCGUUGUCCGGAUUUAUUGGGCGUAAAGCGAGCGCAGGCGGUUUUUUAAGUCUGAUGUGAAAGCCUUCGGCUCAACCGAAGAAGUGCAUCGGAAACUGGGAAACUUGAGUGCAGAAGAGGACAGUGGAACUCCAUGUGUAGCGGUGAAAUGCGUAGAUAUAUGGAAGAACACCAGUGGCGAAGGCGGCUGUCUGGUCUGUAACUGACGCUGAGGCUCGAAAGUAUGGGUAGCAAACAGGAUUAGAUACCCUGGUAGUCCAUACCGUAAACGAUGAAUGCUAAGUGUUGGAGGGUUUCCGCCCUUCAGUGCUGCAGCUAACGCAUUAAGCAUUCCGCCUGGGGAGUACGGCCGCAAGGCUGAAACUCAAAGGAAUUGACGGGGGCCCGCACAAGCGGUGGAGCAUGUGGUUUAAUUCGAAGCUACGCGAAGAACCUUACCAGGUCUUGACAUACUAUGCAAAUCUAAGAGAUUAGACGUUCCCUUCGGGGACAUGGAUACAGGUGGUGCAUGGUUGUCGUCAGCUCGUGUCGUGAGAUGUUGGGUUAAGUCCCGCAACGAGCGCAACCCUUAUUAUCAGUUGCCAGCAUUAAGUUGGGCACUCUGGUGAGACUGCCGGUGACAAACCGGAGGAAGGUGGGGAUGACGUCAAAUCAUCAUGCCCCUUAUGACCUGGGCUACACACGUGCUACAAUGGAUGGUACAACGAGUUGCGAACUCGCGAGAGUAAGCUAAUCUCUUAAAGCCAUUCUCAGUUCGGAUUGUAGGCUGCAACUCGCCUACAUGAAGUCGGAAUCGCUAGUAAUCGCGGAUCAGCAUGCCGCGGUGAAUACGUUCCCGGGCCUUGUACACACCGCCCGUCACACCAUGAGAGUUUGUAACACCCAAAGUCGGUGGGGUAACCUUUUAGGAACCAGCCGCCUAAGGUGGGACAGAUGAUUAGGGUGAAGUCGUAACAAGGUAGCCGU
rnacentral:rRNA from 2 species